CGGGAGUACUGGGGUGCGCGGGGGUCCCAGGGUGCACGUGGCAUACUGAGGUGCAUGGGGGCCCGGAGUGCACCUGGGUCCCGGGCUGCAGGUGGGGUCCCGUGGUGCAGGUGGGGUACUGUGGUGCAGGUGGGGUCCCGGGCUGCAGGUGGGGUACUGGGGUGCGGGGGUGCUGGGACACACGAGGUACGGACGGUGCUCGGGGGGUCCCGGGAUGCAGGAGUCUCCUGGGGUCGGGGCUGGUCCCGGGGCUCGUGCGCACGGCGCAAGUCCCAACCCGGGUCGCGAGCCCGGGGGUCCCCGCGCCUCAGCGCCCCGCCCGCCGCGCUCUCCGGCCCAGCGGCGAAAACGCUGGGCACCGACGCAGGGGGAAAAGCAUCGGGCCGCGCGGGCGGGCAGGCGCACUGACCGAAGCCGCCCCGGCGGGCCAGGCGCACGCGCGCACCCAGCCGGAGCCCCAUGGGCCGACGCCGGGCAGGUGCCUGAGCGCGGCCGGCGCCCCGCCCCCCUCCGGCCCCCUCCCGCCGCCGCCGCGUGCACGGGGCGGGGCCUGCUCUGCGGAGUGGGCGGGCCUAUACCGAUGAGUGGGCGGGGCCCCGCGCCGGCGGGGGCAUUAGAGGCGGCCGCCGGCGGGUGGGCGGAGCCUCCACGCGCGUACGCCGUGCUGGCCACGCCCCCUGCAGGAGCCCCGCCCCCGUGCGCGCCUGCCUGCUCCCCACGCGACGCCGGGCUCCGGGCGGCAAAGGCCAGCGGCCGCGACCCGAGCAGCGGCUGGAGGUUGGCCUCUGCCGGGGGCCGGCGGCCCAGCCGUUCGGGGUCCCCACCCCCGGGCCGUCCCCCGCCGAGCCCGGCUGGAGCCCUGGCUGUGACCCGCCUGUGACCCUGAGCGGGUGGCUGGCCCCGUCUCCCUCCGGACCGGCCGCGUGUGUCCGCAGUGGGGACCCGCGGUGACCGGGCCCGGGCUCUGCAGCAGGUGGGCGGCGGCGGGGGCAGGACGUCCCCUGCAGCCCUCCCUCCGCGGUCUGGGCAGCCCUGGCUGGACGGGCGCCGGGCCGGGAGCGCGCGGGCUAGGCGUGUCCCUCCGGGGCCGUCUGCUGGUCACCUGACUCGUGCGGCUGGUUCCAGACCCGAUGGUCCCGCCGGGCGGCACGGGCCGGGGGACAGUCCUCGCCCCGGGAAGGGCCUUCAGACUGCGGGGUCCGAGCUCCCUCAUUUGAGUCCCCGAGCUUUGCAUGGGGUGGUGAGAAGGGGUCAGAGCCACCUGCCCCCUGGGUCCUGUUGGCUCCCCCUGAGCCUGGGCGCGGUCAGGGGCUGCACGCUGGCAGGGGCCUGCAGUGGCCCUGCGGCUGGACAAACGCUGGGAUGGCCUGGUGGUGCAGCAUGAGGCACGAGGGGGCUGGGUGGGAGCUAUUUCAGGUAGAAAAGGGAGUGGCAGCAGGAAGAGACCCAAAGUGGGUGAGGCCUGAGCCCCUAGGCGUCCCUGCAGUGAGUGCCGGGGGCACGUCGGGAUGCAGCUCCUGGGUGCCAGGCAGAAGCCUCCAUGCGGGUUCUGGGCUGGUGAGGUAGGUCCUGUAAAGGCUUGGAGCCGAGCCCCCUGUCUCCAGGACUGGCGGGAAGAGGUGCCCUGCCCUCUGAAGAGCAGACCCACAGCCUGGCAGGUGCAGGGAGCGCAGCCAACAACAGGUGGGGCUGUGGGAGAGGCACAGGGGGUUGGGGGCGGAGCACGUUCCAGCGCGCAGGGCCCCACAGGCCUCUGCACUGCCAUCUUUAAUCCCUGCCCAGUGUCCAGGGUGCUGGCCGGGUUACCCAGGACGAGAGCAAGACUCACACCUGGGGGCACCUGUGCAGGGCAGGGGGAGCUGGGUUGUCUUUCCUGGCCCAUCUGGACCCCUGACAACCAGCUCAACAAGGUCACCUUUGUGUCUGUCAAAAGCCUUGUGGCUGAUUAAGUUAAAUCCACCUGCCCCUCAGCCCUUAUUUGGAUAAUAAUAAUUAUUAUUGCCAUGUGUGGGAGGGUCAGAUCAGGGCCACGUUUCGUGUGGAACAUGCUGGAACAUGAGCUCAGCCCGCUGAGGUGUUGUGUCCUGAGAGCUGGGCCCGCAUUGGCUGGGCGCCCAGUUGUCACAGCUCUGUUCAUCAGGCCCCUGCUGGGACCAGCCCGCGGGAAGGCAUUGGAAUCACGCCCAUCUUGUAGGUGAGGAAGCUGGAGCUCAGGGCCGAGGGGCUUGUCCCCCCAGGCAGAACGCGCACUUGUCAGCGCUGUGCUGGCCUCUGUCCUCCCUGUGCCAGGACCUCUCAAGGCCCUGAGGACAUACGCUCCCUGCCCCCUGUGGGUGGAGACAAGCACCCCCUAACCCCCACCCGAGUGGCCAGGAACCAGCAUAAGAGGUGUGUGGCAGGCACCUUCCAGGAGGAGGGGCUGGAGCUGUCUCCGUUGGUCUCAAGGACAGCCGGACAGCAGGGCUGUCAAUGGGAC
ensembl:lncRNA